UGGGGAAUUUUCCGCAAUGGGCGCAAGCCUGACGGAGCAAGACCGCGUGAGGGAGGAAGGCCCUUGGGUUGUAAACCUCUUUUCUCAGGGAAGAAGCAAGUGACGGUACCUGAGGAAUCAGCCUCGGCUAACUCCGUGCCAGCAGCCGCGGUAAUACGGAGGAGGCAAGCGUUGUCCGGAAUUAUUGGGCGUAAAGAGCUCGUAGGCGGCCCACCAAGUCGGAUGUGAAAUCUCAAGGCUUAACCUUGAAACUGCAUCCGAUACUGAUGGGCUUGAGGCAGGUAGGGGAAGGUGGAAUUCCUGGUGUAGCGGUGAAAUGCGCAGAUAUCAGGAGGAACACCGGUGGCGAAGGCGGCCUUCUGGGCCUGUACUGACGCUGAGGAGCGAAAGCGUGGGGAGCAAACAGGAUUAGAUACCCCCGUAGUCC
rnacentral:rRNA from 1 species